rnacentral:piRNA from 1 species
UGAUUUAAGCAUAACAGUCCCGAUGC